AAAUUCUAACACCACAUGUGUGCAGUAGGAAUUAAGCCUUGCCUGUGGGUAAGGAGGUGAAUUGCCAUUCCUUCCACUGUCAAAGAAUCUGCCUAUAAUUCACCUUUACUAUCAUCUAUUGUUGAUUUUGGUAGAAUGUUCAUUUCCAGUCUUUCACUGUAUUUUUUUUUCUCCUCUGAGAAUACAGAUCCUCAGGAAUUUUAUGUUUAUAAAAACACCCUUUACCUGGCUACCCUUUCCUGGCUCUGUAGUGUAACUAGCACUGUGAAAUAAUGGUGCAGCUAUUUUUUUUCCCCUCUUCACUCAUAUUUAGUACUUUAUUGGUAAGCCACUGCAUUUAAUUUCAGAUGUUUCUUCAACUGUCAGCGGGUCUCAAGUCUAAACUGUUAUUCAAAUAGCUGUCUUUGAAGAAUGAUGGUCUGUGAUAAGAGUGAGUUGAUAGUGUGGAAAUAAAACAUGCUGGUGGUUUUCCCAGGAGAUAACUUCUGCAAAAAUGAUGAAGGUCUGCCUUCUGUCUCACGACCCAAGUAGUGACAUUCCUGACUUAAUAGAAAAGCAUUUUUCUUCUGCACCUGCUACAGGGUAUGAAGGGCUGUCAUAUAGUCUAACAAAAGGGGUGGGGGGAAAGCCUUUCCUACAGUUUGAAAGACUGAAGUGGUUAGAGAACCAAAAUAUUUUGAGAAUAUGCAAUGGGUGCUGCUUUGCUACAGAAUGGUUGUGUUACACGCUUUAAAAGGUUGAAUGAAAUAAAUGCAGUCUUCCUAUACAGCAUGUUAGCUUGUUGUUCUGAAGCCACAGUUAUGUGCAUCAAAAAGUAACAGCUGUGGUCAACUUUAUCUUAACGAGUCUGUUAGUAUAUACUAACUCCUACUUUAUAAUGCAGACCGUAGUUCGUACAGAAUGCCAAGCUGGACCUUUAGCCCUGUAUAAUUUCAUUUGCAUGGUUAAAGACAAAACUACAGAUUUAAUGAGACCGCUAUGGACAGCAACCUUAAAACUUAAUAGAAAAUAUAAAAACCCCAGAGCAAACCCCAGACCUCUCAGAUCACUUAACCUUUAUUUGCUGUGUUCAUUGGAGGAGUUAAGGUAUGGAACAUGUCCUUAUUUCAACAUAUUAAUUGCAGCCUUCUCUGGGCUUUCUUGUAUGUCAGUAUUUCUUAUUUUUACAGAAAUACUGGAUUUGGCUUACCAAUAGAAAGGUUGUUAGUCUUUGUAUUUUAGUGUAGUCAUAAGUAAUUGGGAAAAGAGCUGUAGAAAGAGGUAACAUCAUAUCUGUGGUGCUCAGGUGUGUGAACAAAGGCAUCCAUCAGUUUCCAUAAUGAGCUUCCCCUCCUCCAUGCCUCUCACCAGAAGAGAGAAGGGAUGCAACCUAUAAACAAAAUGAAAGUGUGGACACAGGGUAACCAAGUGUGAGCUAUGCUAUGUCUGCUAAUCGUCUAUUUUUUCCUCAAACUUUCCUCUCUCAUUCAAGCUGUUUUCUUUUUUUGCUGUCUCUUUUGACUUUUUAUUUCAGUGGUUAAUCCCCAUUAGUUCUAGUACUGAAGGCAUUACUGUCUGAAAGGAGGGGCAAUCUCAAAAACUGAAAAGUUAAAAUACAUGUUUAUCUUUCAUCAGAACAAAACUCUUUCACAGCAUUGAACACUGGCCUGGAUCAGCUUCAAUAACUUUACUGGGUGUGAUUUAUUUGCCUAAAGAAAAUUGUGGUGGAUUGAUAUAUGCUGUUUUAACUUCUUAGGUUAACGCAGCAACAUACUGUUCACCGUUUCUGAAAUCUCGUGUUUGACAACAAGGAGUCUGUUAAGUUGUCGGCACUAAUGUUCUGCCUAAUUGUUACUUGAUAUUAAAUGGAUAUAAGUCCAGUUUCUGGUCACUGCAUUUUUUGAAGACAGUUCUUGCAACCUUCCAACAUGUGUCCAACACACAAGUGCAAAAGACACAGGAAGACGAAAAUGGGAAGAAAGAAAAAUAUCUGUUGAGACCAAAAGAUAAAACAUUUGGUAUCUGCUUUCUCUUGGGAGACUGUGUGAGAAUUGUCACCUUUUCCUAGAGAGGAGGAGAAUUUCCAGAAUAUUCUUGAAGUCAAGUUUCUGCUAGGGUGACACUUCUCUGAAACCUCUGAGACCUUUUCCAAAUGCUAAAAAGGAAGAGUCAUGCUUAUGAUAGCCUUCAAACAAAAUCCCAGUCCCUUAGAUCUUUGUUUUAUUUUAAUGACUUCACUCGUUUGUGCUUGAUGUCUGGCUGAGGAAACAUGUUUAACCUUUCUUGUGGCAUCAUUUACACUUUGGGCUUGCCAUGAGAGGAUCAAAUGAUUAAAAAUGAUUAUUAAAAGUGUGUUGACCCUCAAGCCCAGAGCUCUCAUUUUGUCACCUUAGGUCUUCUCUAUGUCACAUAGCUCUGGCUGAGCAUAAGUUCAAGUGCAUUUGUCCUGAGCAGCACACUUUAGUCCCAUCUCUGCUGUCUUUUCUGAUCUUAUAACAGAUAUUAAACGUCAGAUAAGAACAA